CCCUGAGUCCCAGCCCUUGACGGUCCACGAGACUGGGGCAGCAGCAGGGGCAGGUACAGAGCACCUCAGCCGCCUCCCUACCUGACAGCAACAUCAAAGCCGAGGCCAAGGCAGGAGGGCCCAGAGUGAGACACCUCUUCCAGACAAGCCUUGGUCGCCGCCUCCUCCUCUGUCACCCUGUGACAUAGCCCAGAGUACCAGGCGGCUGGAGCACUGGGGGACACCCGGACAGAACCCUCCCUGGACCAAGUCCUCCAGGAGCGGGAUGAAGCCAUUGCCAAGAAGCAGGCAGUGGAGGCGGAGCUGCAGAAGUGCAAAGCCAGGCUACACGCCGUGGAGGCCCAGCUGCUGGAGGUCCUGGAGGAGAAACUGAGGCUGAGGCGAGAGCUGGAGGCCUGGGAGGAGGACGUGCAGCAGCUGGUGUGGCAGCAGGUCCAGAAUCAGCUGCAGAGAGAGGCCGAGGGUAUUCCGGGAGCCCACGUGGACCCUGGAGCUGC